AGACACUGCAGAACAACAGCUACAGCUACUGUAGAAAGACUACGGUGCCUUCCUGGGCUCCCAACACUAAUCAGCCAAGGCUGACCUGGAAGCCCAGUCAGGUCUGGCUUUCUUGAGCACAGAAGUCUAUGUCCACCUAGGUGAACAGCAGCAAGAUGAGAGAGGAGCCUAUCUCAAGCCAGCAGCCUGCCUGUGGCAUUCCCAGCCUCCUCACCCUGACUCCAGUGUCUGCAGUUCUGCUAUUCAAGCACCGCCGCCCCCCCCCCCCAGCCCAAUAUCCUGCUCCUAAACCAGCCUCCAGGGAAUUCAGGGUCUGGACCCAGCCCCCCUGCUUGCCCCUGGCCAAAGGUUCUGUAGCCACACAAGGACUUCAUGGAGCUGCAUGUCCCUUCAGGGUUGACACAUCCCUUGUGGCAUGUGGUAUCAUCAUUAUACAGCAUUCCAAAGCGCAGAUGCUGUCAGGAGCACUGGAAGAGUUUUAAUUAGUGGAUAACGUUCAACACUCCAGAGACUUCAUGUGAAGUCAUA
rnacentral:lncRNA from 1 species